rfam:Camelus ferus isolate Naran unplaced genomic scaffold scaffold2022, whole genome shotgun sequence.
AAGGGUAUUGCUCAGUGGUAGAGUGCAUGUCUAGCAUGCAUGAGGUCCUGAGUUCAAACCCCAGUACCUCCA